rnacentral:lncRNA from 1 species
AUUUCUCAGUUCGAGGCCAGCCCGGUCUACAAAGUGAGUUCCAGGACAGCCAGGACUAUACAGAGAAACCCUGUCUCGAAAAACAAACAACAACAACAAAAAAUAAAGCCAGCUGGAGGGGCAAAUGAUGUUUCCUUCAAACACUCUGCAUCUAUUUCUCUACUUACUAGUUUCUCCCAUGCAAGUUGCAGCCAACUUUCUAGCUUGGUGGAAUUUGCUGCUUAUGAGAGUAGCUCCUUUGGUUCAUUGUGUCAUGUGUGAGGGGGCUCAGGACACCAGAUGGUCACUCCUUCUGUGAGUCUUCUGAACUGAGCCAACAAGGUUUCUUACAAACCAUGGUGAGGGUAUUGUGUCUUGCCCCUCUGAGGGUGUUGUGCACCAUGGGGAGUUCCCCUGCCACCUGCAUCCUGUUGGGCUGGAGGGAACAAAUGUCUUUGUCUUCCUAGUCUUUAGCAUCCAGCAGUCAUAGACGUGUAAAGUGAAAGGGGCUAGGUUGUAAAAAACAGGAGAGGAUACAGAAAAACAAAACAAGUAAUGGCAGGGGCAGAGAAUGCUAAUAAGUAUUCUCAAAACUAGUUGGUGCUCCAUCCAAAUGUUGUGAAAUGAAAGAGUAUACAACAACCAAUUCAGAAUGAACCAAUAUACUUUCCACUGAAAUCAGAGCCCAGUAAGAGCUCACCAGUGUCUACCUGAUAAGGCAGCCCAGACAGUUGGACACACAGAACCCUUGCAGAUAGACAGCAUGGACCUUACCACCUUCGCCAGUGAUAAAGUAUCCUGGCAGAUCAGCCUAAGGAAGGGUUUCAGUUUGCUUACGGCUGGGGAACAUCUGUACCCUGAAGGGAGUCAAAAAGCAGCAGGAGUUUGAGGCAUAGUUGCAUCGCCUCUGCCAUUAGGAAGUGGGUAGUGUGAAUGUCUGUGCUCAGCUAGCUUUCUUCUGUUUUAAACUACCCGUUUAUUGGUUAUGUGUGUGGUGUGGAUGUGAAGGUCAGGAGACGCUGGUCCUCAGGCUCAGCAGCAAGCAUAUUUACACAGUCUCACCAGUCCUUGCUCUCCUUAUACAGUCUAGGACACAAGUCUAGGAAAUGGUGCCACCUAUUAUUAGUGUGCCUUCCCACACAGUCAACAUAACCCUCACAGUAUGUCUAAAGGCUUGUCUCCUAAGGGAAUCUAGAUCCUAUGCAGUUGACAGUUAACACUUAGGUGUGGCGUGGCUGCACUGUGCCUGUUGACCGCAUGCAUGGGGAGGCAGAGACAGAUGGAUCCCUGAAGCUUACUAGGCAGCCAACCCAGCUGAGCCAGUGAGCUUCAGGGAGAUGGCUUGUUCCAAGAAAAGGGCAGGCAAGAUGGCUCAGUGUGUAACAGCACUCCCCACUAGGCUUGACAGCCCAGGUUCAAUCCCAGGGACCCACAUGGUAGGAGAACUGGCUUCCAUGUGUGUGUCAUGGCAUGUCCAUAUGUCUCCAUCCCAGCAGGCACAUCUCCAUUAUCAUAAGCACAGGCCUUGUAAUGCAUUCUAAAGGAAAGAGCAGCCUUCCCUAAUCCAGAGGCUUGCUGUGUGUGCCUGGAAACCACAAGCAAAGCGAACACUGUGGUGAUGGAGGGCUCGCCAGGGUCCCUCUGACUUUGCAGAGUGGUAAUGACAACUCCAGUCAUUAUCUUCUGCUUCUGAAGGGUCCUGAGAGUGAGUAAGUGUCGGUACACAGUAGGAUUCCCCUAAACUGGGAACAAUAUAAAAAUGUAUGUCUCUCCUGCUGAGGUAUUCUGAGAGACCAUGAGAUGUACAUGAAGAUGCCUUGAAAACCAUAAUUUGAAAGAAAAAAAAAAAGGAGUCUAUGUGAGAUGAAAACACACUUUCCUUAAUUGAAGAAAAUUGUAGCCCAGAGCUCUGGUACUAACCAGUACCCCCCCCCCAGCUGUCUCUCUAGUUGCAUAUAUAGCAGAGGAUGGCCUAGUCGGCCAUCGGAGGAAGGAGAGGCCCUUGGUCUUGCAAAGAUUAUAUGCCCCAGUACAGGGGAAUGCCAGGGCCAGGAAGUGGGAGUGGGUAGGUUGGGGAGCAGGGUGGGGAAGCUAUAGGGGGCUUUGGGGAUAGCAUUUGAAAUGUAAAUGAAGAAAAUAUCUAAUAAAAAAAGAAAAUUGCUAAAUUUGAUGACUCUAAAUACAAAAAAAAGAGAAAAUCAUAAUUUGUACAUAGUUGCUAGGGUGAUUUUAUGUCCUGUAUCCCCCCCUCCAUCCUUUUUUUGGGGGGGAGCUUCCCUCCCACGGUCACACCUUUCCCCACCCCCUCCCACCUCCAUCCAAGGAGUGAAGUG